rnacentral:tRNA from 1 species
GGUGGGGUACCCAAGUGGCCAACGGGAUCAGACUGUAAAUCUGACGGCUCACGCCUUCGAAGGUUCGAAUCCUUCCCCCACCA